rnacentral:rRNA from 1 species
UCCUGACCGUGCGAAGGUAGCGUAAUCACUUGUCUUUUAAAUGAAGACCUGUAUGAAUGGCAUAACGAGGGUUUAACUGUCUCCUUCCCCCAGUCAAUGAAAUUGAUCUGCCCGUGCAGAAGCGGACAUAAAAACAUAAGACGAGAAGACCCUAUGGAGCUUUAGGCCAAGGACCAAUCAUGUUAAGAGACUACAAAACCAAAAAGAACAAAAAAGUCAACAAACCAAAUGCAACCUCGUCCAAGUGCCUUCGGUUGGGGCGACCACGGGGAAAAAAGAAACCCCCACAUGGAAUGGAAAUUAUUUCCUUAAACCAAGAAAAACAAUUCUAAGCAACAGAACAUCUGACCAAUAUAUGACCCAGGAAUAACAGAUCCUGAUCAAUGAACCAAGUUACCCUAGGGAUAACAGCGCAAUCCUUUCCCAGAGCCCAUAUCGACGAAAGGGUUUACGACCUCGAUGUUGGAUCAGGACAUCCUAAUGGUGCAGCCGCUA